rnacentral:lncRNA from 1 species
GUGCCAUCUGGCACAACACCGUUCUGCUCAUGCACAGACCCACUCCCAACUGCCUGUAGCUACCAUCGCUUCUAUUCAAAAGGUCUCUUUCCUGAACCGUCUGCUCCUCCCCCUGCAUUCGUCAGAAGAUGUUGCUCAAGCUGCCACCAUCCUCUUAGGCCCCUUGUCUUACCUGGCUCCCAUUUCAUCCGCUCAAGAACCAUCUGUGGCUGAUGUGGACUCGAGAACAGAGCCCAGAGCUUUCAAGCCUCCCCGACAUCUGAACCCCAGGACUAAUGAAAAAACGUAAUGUAAAUCAGCUUGGAUCCAGGACAGAUAAGCUGUAGAAACACUGUCUGCACUUCAGGAGCAUAUCUGCGUAAAGAUAUAUGGAAAUAUAGACAAAAUCCUAAAGGUAA